UACGGAGGGUGCGAGCGUUGUCCGGAAUCACUGGGCGUAAAGGGCGCGUAGGCGGCUUCUCAAGCGUGUGGUGAAAGUCCGGGGCUCAACCCCGGAUCGGCCGUGCGGACUGGGGAGCUCGAGUUCUGUAGAGGCGGGUGGAAUUCCGGGUGUAGCGGUGGAAUGCGUAGAGAUCCGGAGGAACACCCGUGGCGAAGGCGGCCCCCUGGGCCGCGCCUGACGCUGAGACGCGAAAGCGCGGGGAGCGAACGGG
rnacentral:rRNA from 1 species